CCUGCGGCCUAUCAGCUUGUUGGUGGGGUAAUGGCCUACCAAGGCGGCGACGGGUAUCCGGCCUGAGAGGGUGUACGGACACAUUGGGACUGAGAUACGGCCCAGACUCCUACGGGAGGCAGCAGUGGGGAAUAUUGCACAAUGGGCGCAAGCCUGAUGCAGCGACGCCGCGUGGGGGAUGAAGGCCUUCGGGUUGUAAACUCCUUUCGCUAUCGACGAAGCCACUUGUGGUGACGGUAGGUAGAUAAGAAGCACCGGCUAACUACGUGCCAGCAGCCGCGGUAAUACGUAGGGUGCAAGCGUUGUCCGGAAUUACUGGGCGUAAAGAGCUCGUAGGUGGUUGGUCACGUCUGCUGUGGAAACGCAACGCUUAACGUUGCGCGUGCAGUGGGUACGGGCUGACUAGAGUGCAGUAGGGGAGUCUGGAAUUCCUGGUGUAGCGGUGAAAUGCGCAGAUAUCAGGAGGAACACCGGUGGCGAAGGCGGGACUCUGGGCUGUAACUGACACUGAGGAGCGAAAGCAUGGGGAGCGAACAGGAUUAGAUACCCUGGUAGUCCAUGCCGUAAACGUUGGGCACUAGGUGUGGGGGACAUUCCACGUUCUCCGCGCCGUAGCUAACGCAUUAAGUGCCCCGCCUGGGGAGUACGGUCGCAAGGCUAAAACUCAAAGGAAUUGACGGGGGCCCGCACAAGCGGCGGAGCAUGCGGAUUAAUUCGAUGCAACGCGAAGAACCUUACCAAGGCUUGACAUACACCAAACCGUUCUGGAAACAGUUCCUCCCCUUUGGGGUUGGUGUACAGGUGGUGCAUGGUUGUCGUCAGCUCGUGUCGUGAGAUGUUGGGUUAAGUCCCGCAACGAGCGCAACCCUCGUUCUAUGUUGCCAGCACGUAAUGGUGGGAACUCAUAGGAGACUGCCGGGGUCAACUCGGAGGAAGGUGGGGAUGACGUCAAAUCAUCAUGCCCUUUAUGUCUUGGGCUUCACGCAUGCUACAAUGGCUGGUACAGAGAGAUGCGAGACCGCGAGGUUUUAGCGAAUCCCUUAAAGCCAGUCUCAGUUCGGAUCGUAGUCUGCAAUUCGACUACGUGAAGUCGGAGUCGCUAGUAAUCGCAGAUCAG
rnacentral:rRNA from 1 species